rnacentral:rRNA from 1 species
GAUGAACGCUGGCGGCGUGCUUAACACAUGCAAGUCGAACGGAAAGGCCCUGCUUUUGUGGGGUGCUCGAGUGGCGAACGGGUGAGUAACACGUGAGUAACCUGCCCUUGACUUUGGGAUAACUUCAGGGAACUGGGGCUAAUACCGGAUAGGAGCUCCUGCUGCAUGGUGGGGGUUGGAAAGUUUCGGCGGUUGGGGAUGGACUCGCGGCUUAUCAGCUUGUUGGUGGGGUAGUGGCUUACCAAGGCUUUGACGGGUAGCCGGCCUGAGAGGGUGACCGGCCACAUUGGGACUGAGAUACGGCCCAGACUCCUACGGGAGGCAGCAGUGGGGAAUAUUGCACAAUGGGCGGAAGCCUGAUGCAGCAACGCCGCGUGCGGGAUGACGGCCUUCGGGUUGUAAACCGCUUUCGCCUGUGACGAAGCGUGAGUGACGGUAAUGGGUAAAGAAGCACCGGCUAACUACGUG